rnacentral:lncRNA from 1 species
CUGCCUGUGUUCUCUGACCUACUAGUGCCUGGGAUAUUUAUAGACCAUGUUCCAAGAGAAGAGAAGUCCACUCUAGGAGACCACCAGGAGGGAAGAGAUUGUUACUUUGGCACACUGGAACCUCAUCUGCCCAACUCCUUCAAAGUCUGGGAGACCUAUGAGUAUGGAGAGAAAACGACUUUCUGUGAAGUCACGUUUUACAAAAUUUGAAUUUGUUGCCAACCAUCUAUUUGGCCACAUCAGGUGUUCUCCACUGAAGUGACUGACACCAUCAUCCACCUAGGAUCCAUGCCAGAAAGCCAAGCAGCAUCCAGGAGGCUGCUCUCUUCAGCAUCCCUUAUAUUCAACUGGACAUCAAGCCAUGUCCAUUUGCACUUUACACUUCUAAUUUGUCUUCUCCCUAUGCCCACUGCUUUGGCCUAUACAUUUAUUUUUCAAUGCUGUCUCCACUGUCUCAAUUCUAUCUUCCACAUGUCUGCCAGUGUGAUCUUUCCAAACUGUACUUCUGAUGAUCUCACUCCCCUGAAUAAAUCUUUCAAAGGAUCCCUAUUUCCAUCAGCACAAUACUCAUUCAAACUCUUUAGCCUGACAUUCUCAACGUAGCCUCUGCCAACAUUUCAAACCACAUGUCUAAACACAUGCACCUAGUUCACUCCACAACCGUAGUGAACUAGAACGUUCCCCUAAACACAUCAGGCGAUUUCACUCUU